rnacentral:rRNA from 1 species
GACGAACGCUGGCGGCGUGCUUAACACAUGCAAGUCGAACGGAAAGGCCCUGCUUUUGUGGGGUGCUCGAGUGGCGAACGGGUGAGUAACACGUGAGUAACCUGCCCUUGACUUUGGGAUAACUUCAGGAAACUGGGGCUAAUACCGGAUAGGAGCUCCUGCUGCAUGGUGGGGGUUGGAAAGUUUCGGCGGUUGGGGAUGGACUCGCGGCUUAUCAGCUUGUUGGUGGGGUAGUGGCUUACCAAGGCUUUGACGGGUAGCCGGCCUGGGAGGGGGACCGGCCACAUUGGGACUGAGAUACGGCCCAGACUCCUACGGGAGGCAGCAGUGGGGAGUAUUGCACAGUGGGCGGAAGCCUGAUGCAGCAACGCCGCGUGCGGGAUGACGGCCUUCGGGUUGUAAACCGCUUUCGCCUGUGACGAAGCGUGAGUGACGGUAAUGGGUAAAGAAGCACCGGCUAACUACGUG